rnacentral:tRNA from 1 species
GGAAGGUUGGCCGAGUGGUUUAUGGCGCUGGUCUCGAACACCAGUUGGGUCGCAAGAUCCUCAGAGGUUCAAAUCCUCUACCUUCCGCCA